UCUCCGUUGGUGAACCAGCGGAGGGAUCAUUACAGAGUUAUCUAACUCCCAAACCCAUGUGAACUUACCAUUUGUUGCCUCGGCAGAGCCUACCCGGUAACUGUUCGGAGAAGCUACCCUGUAGCUACCCUGUAACGGCCUACCCUGUAACGCACUGCCGGUGGACUUUUAAACUCUUGUUAUUUUAUAGUAAUCGGAGCGGCUUAUUUUAGUAAGUCAAAACUUGCAACAACGGAUCUCUUGGUUCUGGCAUCGAUGAAUAACGCAGC
rnacentral:misc_RNA from 1 species